rnacentral:rRNA from 1 species
AACGCGAAGAACCUUACCCAGACUUGACAUACAGUGGGAAGUUAGCAGUAAAUGUUAACGCCCUUCGGGGCCGCUGAACAGGUGCUGCAUGGCUGUCGUCAGCUCGUGCCGUGAGGUGUUGGGUUAAGUCCCGCAACGAGCGCAACCCUUAUCGUUAGUUGCCAACAGGUAAUGCUGGGAACUCUAGCGAGACUGCCUGGGUUAACCAGGAGGAAGGUGAGGAUGACGUCAAGUCCGCAUGGCCCUUAUGUCUGGGGCUACACACGUUCUACAAUGGUCGGUACAGAAGGCAGCGAAACCGUCGAGGCGAAGCAAAUCCCUAAAACCGGCCCCAGUUCAGAUAGUAGUCUGCAACUCGACUACAUGAAGAUGGAAUUGCUAGUAAUGGUCGAGUCAGCAACAUCGCCGUGACAUACGUUCCCGGGUCUAGUACACACCG